UUAAAUUGAAGAGUUUGAUCAUGGCUCAGAUUGAACGCUGGCGGCAGGCCUAACACAUGCAAGUCGAGCGGUAGCACAGAGAGCUUGC
rnacentral:rRNA from 1 species